rnacentral:rRNA from 1 species
UACGGGGGGAGCAAGCGUUGUUCGGAUUUACUGGGCGUAAAGGGCGCGUAGGCGGCCACCGCAAGUCGACUGUGAAAUCUCCGGGCUUAACCCGGAAAGGUCAGCCGAUACUGCGGGGCUAGAGUGCAGAAGGGGCAACUGGAAUUCUCGGUGUAGCGGUGAAAUGCGUAGAUAUCGAGAGGAACACCUGAGGCGAAGGCGGGCUACUGGGCCGAUACUGACGCUGAUGCGCGAAAGCCAGGGGAGCAAACGGG